rnacentral:rRNA from 1 species
UUUGAAAAUGGACUGCUCAGUAAUACUCACUUUAUUUUAUGUACAUUUGAAAUUAACUACGUUAAAGUGUAGAUAAGAUGUGUACAGUAAGAGUGAGACCUAUCAGCUAGUUGUUAAGGUAAUGGCUUAACAAGGCAGUGACGGGUAACGGUAUUACUUUGUAAUAUUCCGGAGAAGGAGCCUGAGAGACGGCUACUAAGUCUAAGGAUUGCAGCAGGGGCGAAACUUGACCUAUGGAUUUUAUCUGAGGCAGUUAUGGGAAGUAAUAUUAUAUUGUUUCAUAUUUUAAAAGUAUAUGAGGUGAUUAAUUGGAGGGCAAAUCAAGUGCCAGCAGCCGCGGUAAUACUUGUUCCAAGAGUGUGUAUGAUGAUUGAUGCAGUUAAAAAGUCCGUAGUUUAUAUUUAAGAAGCAAUAUGAGGUGUACUGUAUAGUUGGGAGAGAGAUGAAAUGUGACGACCCUGACUGGACGAACAGAAGCGAAAGCUGUACACUUGUAUGUAUUUUUUGAACAAGGACGUAAGCUGGAGGAGCGAAGAUGAUUAGAUACCAUUGUAGUUCCAGCAGUAAACUAUGCCGACGAUGUGAUAUGAAAUUAUUUGUAUUACAUAAUAGAAAUUAGAGUUUUUUGGCUCUGGGGAUAGUAUGAUCGCAAGAUUGAAAAUUAAAGAAAUUGACGGAAGAAUACCACAAGGAGUGGAUUGUGCGGCUUAAUUUGACUCAACGCGAGGUAACUUACCAAUAUUUUAUUAUUUUGAGAGGAUUUUUAAUCUGAGAAUGAUAAUAGUGGUGCAUGGCCGUUUUCAAUGGAUGCUGUGAAGUUUUGAUUAAUUUCAACAAGACGUGAGACCCUUUUAUUAUAGACAGACACAAUCAGUGUAGGAAGGAAAGGAUUAAAACAGGUCCGUUAUGCCCUCAGACAUUUUGGGCUGCACGCGCAAUACAAUAGAUAUAUGAUCUUUAUGGGAUAAUAUUUUGUAAGAGAUAUUUGAACUUGGAAUUGCUAGUAAAUUUUAUUAAAUAAGUAGAAUUGAAUGUGUCCCUGUUCUUUGUACACACCGCCCGUCGCUAUCUAAGAUGAUAUAUGUUGUGAAAUUAGUGAAAACUA